GAAUUAUGACAGUAUUAUUCCUAACUUUCCAAACAUGCACUUGUCCACUUUCAGCUAUCUCUACACUUGAUUCUCUGAAGAGAUGGUGCUUUCCCCAACUCUCCAAGCCUCAAGGGACAGUGUGGAGAAGAAAUGCUGUUUAUGGUACAGGGUAGCCAUUCUUGCAUUCUUAUUCUCCAGUUCUUUUCUACUACUCAGAAUUCUGACUCCACAGAAAUUCCUAAUUAACUCAGUUGCUCUACAAUGACAAGCUAAUCUCUGGAGCUACCAAGUCAGGAAAGUCAUUCGGCCUGGAUCAGCAUGGAUUUUCUCCCUUGCACCCAGUUCAGCAGCUGGGCACCAAACCAACCCCUACAUUGUGGGAUGAAGAUGCCAAGGGCUGGAGCAACUCAGGGCUGAUUGUUUCACUCAGAAAAUCAUGGGCCGGAUAGAGGCAGUUACAUGCACAGGAGAUGUAGAAGCCACUUCUGGUCUCCAUUCUUCAGUUCCAGUUCAUGUACAUCCUACUGUCUAUCAGCUUACCAUAUAUAGUGCUUAUUAUGGGACUGGCAGUAUUCUAAGUGUUGUACAUAAUUAACUCACGGUGCUCACAGGACCUGAUAAGGAACGAUGAACUCAGUUGCAUUAGCUUGGCCACAUGACUUCUUGAGAGGCACCUUUCAGAUAUGGAAACACUUUAGAGGGUUGUGUUGAGCCUCAAGAAGACAUUGAGCACUCAAUUCUCAGUGACCAAUGGUUGACCUCUUUUGAGACAUUUCCAACUGGAAAGGAGAGACAGGUCUUCCUGCCUCCCAUGGAACCUCAUUUUUAAUGAUGUGGCUUCAUGAAGAUGUGACCUAAGGAAGAACUGGGUACAGACAAUGCUUUUAAUCUCACUCACCUUAUUCUUCAGUUAUAUAUAUAAGCGUCAAGAAACCAGUGUUAGCUAACAGCACUGUUUUCACUGCUAAGCAAAACUUCGGGAAGGGGCAUCCUUUGAUAGAACAUUAAUGAACCAAUUUUCUGUCAGUCUAAAUUAAAACCUACACUGCUUCCCUUUUCCCUCCCAAGCUCUGCUCUUAUAGACUUACUCCAAAUCAUCUUAAGUGGUAUAAAACUGAUGGUGAUUGGUUUUAAUAUUGAAAACCUAAAAUUAAUAAAUGUAGUUUGGACUGCUGCUCCUGUCCAUGUGUUCUUUUAUGUAGGUUUAUUUAAAAGCCAAACAACACUGCUGCUUCCAGAGACCCUUUGUUCUGGUCUUCAUUAUCAAAGCUGAUGGAAUCAGGUUUGGGACCAAGGCUUAUGCCCACGAAACUGGCCAACUAUUAGGCAGAAGAAGCAUUUCUUUUCAGAGUAACCAGUAUAGAUAGUAAGCAAGAUAUGUAUAUAAGCCAAGAAGUAUUUCCUGUAAAGGAGUAACCAAAUAAUUAGUUGAUUUUGACAUGAUCUUCCCAUAGACAUAGUGGCAAUGGAGCAAAGAUACACUUUUCCUGAAUUUUGAAAGAAUUUGAGCAGUUCUUGCCUUGAAUCUGAUGUCUGUCAGACCCAGAAAUUUCACAUACAUUCUCUGGCUGGCACAGGGUGGUGAAGGGUGAACGGUUUGGGAAAUGAAGAGGUUUGGGAUGAAUGGCACUGAAAUCACUUUGAAUCUUGGAGAAUAUUUGGAGGGGGAUCCCUCAGUCUGACUCCCUUGUGAGUCAGAAUCAACAGGGAGCUCAGUAGGGACCCCGAUGGGUUGAGUUAAUGUGGAAUGGGCUUAAAUGGAUCCAUGGAGUGUUCUGAAGAGGAGGGGGUUGGCUCUUCUCAGACGAGGGAGGGGAUCUGGAUUCCUUGGUCCUUUGGGUAGAAGGUCACUAUGUCCAAAAGGAUUCUUUGAAGAGUUGUUGCCCAUCUUUGUCUCUGAGAAGCAGAAUAAAAGGGUUGUACUUGUAAGAAGUAGAGAAGAAGAGGUGAAGUUAGGAGAUCUCCAUGGCUGUGGCUGAGAAUUAAUGAUGCAGAAAGGUUCUGGAGCCCCUAACUCUGGUUUUAAAGGUCAAGGGUUUUCACCUUGCCUAGUAAGCUCCUCAGCUUACCAAAUGUCUUUGAUCACAUUGCUUAACCACCCUGAACCUUCAUUCCCUUACCUGUAAAGUGGAGAUAAUGCUUGUUCCAGAAGAUUGUUAACAGGAUCACACGAAGUAAUAAUAUCUAGCAUCAAGACUCACAUAGCUCUUCAGAUGUUCCAGGCCAUUAUUACUGCUUCUGGUUCUGUUACAGUGGCUGACAGGGGCAAGAUGGUAGUGGCCAUAGAAAUGUCAGGUUGGAGACAUCAGAGCUGGCAUAGAGAUGCAGCAGAACUGAUUGAAGGGAAGCUACCUACAGAGCACCCAGUCUGACUCCAUCCACAGGCUGGUGCCUGGUCACCUAGAGGACAGGAUGGGUUGUGACAAUAGCACCUCCCUUGGCUUCCGGGGUGACACACAUUUCAUCCUGGAGAGGCUUUUGGUGGGAGCCACAGCCGGAGGAGGAUACGGAUGUGGAGAUAGUGUCAGACCUCCCACUCUGCCCCCUACACACCCUGCCUGCUUUCCAAUUUUAGCGAUGUUACCAGGGCAGCUUUUCAGAAAGCCUGCUUCAGUGGUUCUUGCCUGGGCUGCUUCCACCGCGGCUGUGUGCUGGGGACCAUUCACUGAGCCUCAGCCAUCGUGCCCCAUCUGUUCUUCUGGCUGCGGCCACCCAGCAUCUGUGGGGGGCGGCGAGGGCUGAAGAUACCCAGACAAGUGACGGGGAGGACCUGCAGCAGGGGUGCCCAGCAGGAGACACCCACUGAAGGGCUCUGAUGACCCCCAGGGGUGGGGGGACAA